GAUGAAGAACGCAGUGAAAUGCGAUAAGUAAUGUGAAUUGCAGAAUUCAGUGAAUCAUCGAAUCUUUGAACGCACCUUGCGCCCUUUGGCUAUUCCGAAGGGCAUGCCUGUUUGAGUAUCAUGAACACCUCAACUCUUCACGGCUUGCCGUGAUGAGUUUGGACUUUGGGGGUCUUGCUGGCCUACGAGCCAGCUCCUCUCAAAUGUAUUAGCUUGCCGGUGUUUGGUGGCAUCACAGGUGUGAUAACUAUCUACGCUUGUGGUUUUCCACUAGGUAACCUUCAGCAAUGGAGGUUCAACGGAGCUCACAAAUGUCUCUCCUUGCCAAGGACAGAUUUUGACCAUUUGAUCUCAAAUCAGGUAGGACUACCCGCUGAACUUAAGCAUAUCAAUAAGCGGAGGA
rnacentral:misc_RNA from 1 species